UACUAUGUUACGACUUAUCUCACUUCUGAGAGCGACGGGCGAGAUGUGCAUAUUUUAGAGCUUGAUUCAAAUACUCAUAAUAUUAGUAUUUUACUAUUAAAUCCUAAAAAUUUUUUCAUUAAAAAAAUUACAUUAAAAUUAAUGUAAUUCACCUCAUUCAUAAUUAUUUGAUGCACCUUGACUUAAUAUGCUUUUUUAAAAAAAAAAUUUCAAAUAUUACUAUUCAAUAUAAUUAAUAUAGUGGUAUACAAACUGAUUUAAAUUACAAAAUUAAGUAAGAUUGAGGCGUUGUGUCCAUUACAGAGCAAAUUCCUCUAAUAAGCUUAAAAUACCGCCAAAAUUUUUUGAUUUCGUAAAUUUUAUUUACUCCCAAUAUAUAGCUUAAAAUAAUAGGGUAUCUAAUCCUAGUUU
rnacentral:rRNA from 1 species